UGGGGAAUAUUGGACAAUGGGCGCAAGCCUGAUCCAGCAAUGCCGCGUGUGUGAAGAAGGCCUUCGGGUUGUAAAGCACUUUUGUCCGGAAAGAAAUCCUUGGCUCUAAUACAGUCGGGGGAUGACGGUACCGGAAGAAUAAGCACCGGCUAACUACGUGCCAGCAGCCGCGGUAAUACGUAGGGUGCAAGCGUUAAUCGGAAUUACUGGGCGUAAAGCGUGCGCAGGCGGUUUGCUAAGACCGAUGUGAAAUCCCCGGGCUCAACCUGGGAACUGCAUUGGUGACUGGCAGGCUAGAGUAUGGCAGAGGGGGGUAGAAUUCCACGUGUAGCAGUGAAAUGCGUAGAGAUGUGGAGGAAUACCGAUGGCGAAGGCAGCCCCUGGGCCAAUACUGACGCUCAUGCACGAAAGCGUGGGGAGCAAACAGGAUUAGAUACCCUGGUAGUCCAGCGCCCUAAACGAUGUCAACUAGUUGUUGGGGAUUCAUUUCCUUAGUAACGUAGCUAACGCGU
rnacentral:rRNA from 1 species